GCCCCUAUAGCUCAGUGGUAGAGCGCAUCACUCGGCAAGUGAAUAUCUACCUAUGCGAUAAUGGGACUACGGCAGCUAAUACUUAGCAGUACCUACCUCCGUGCGAUAUGAUGAGGUCCAUCGUUCAAUCCGGUGUGGGGGCA